ACCUGGCUGGCUCAGUCGGUAGAGCAUGUGACUUGGGAUCUCAGGGUUGUGAGUUCAAGCCCCAUGUUGGGUA
rnacentral:tRNA from 1 species